rnacentral:lncRNA from 1 species
AACAGAUGUGCUUGAGAGGAUGUUGAAGAUCUUUCUAAAAUUUGGUGGGCUCACGACACUCGUAGCUCACCUUCUCACUUUCCGAACUCCAGGCUGAAACCCUGAAGAACUCACUGAAACCCUGCGCACACUUUUUCUUUCUUUUCUUUCUUUUUCUCUCGGAAGGAUAUAGACCUUCACCUUGUACACAAAGAUUCCUCACGCUCAGAUUUUCUCUCCAAAAUUUUUCUUGCACAUGCCCCACUCUUCUCCUCCUUUUAAAACAAUAUCAAACGUCUUAUCCAUGUGAGAGGAUAAAGAUGAGUAAUUGCACAUUUGAAUUCAAAUCAAAUUUUGAAUUCAAAUGGAAACCAAUUUAUUCCUAUCCACUAAGGGUGUGAGAAGAGGAGGGCAUGGCUUAAUUUGUGCAUGAGUGAUUUCAUGAGAAAUAUUUUCUCGUGUAAUAAAUAGGGCGUUAAAAGAGGAUAAGGUCAAGGUGCUAAGAUUGGUUGCUCAUUCAAAUUCAAACUUUGUUUUGAAUUUGAAUGGCCAACCAAUCAUCCUUAUCCACUCAUAUGGUGUAUUAAAGUAGGGCAUGAGGAGGGCUUUGCAUGAGAAAAAAUUCAUGAGAACUUCCUUCUCGUGAAUUCAAAUGGGCACAAUGGAAGUGAGGUGGCGUAGGGAGAAUGGGUCAAGGUGGUUUCAUUAUUUAAACCAACCUAAUUGAACCAAAUAAGUUAGGCCCAAUUAGACUAAUUUAAACCCAACUUAAUUAAGCUUAAUUAGGCUCAAUAAAAUUUUAAUCAAAUCAAGAAUUGAUUAAGCCCAACCCCUGAUCAUAUCAGGAACCAAACCAUCUCGACGAUUAGGUCAACUCUUAACCUAAUCAGGUCAAACCCAACUGAAUCCAAUUCAAUUGGACUUGAUCCAAAAAUAAUUACUCAAUCAAAUUGAGUUAAUUAGCGAUCAAAUCACUAAUUAAAUCUCUCAUAAAUAUUGAGUCCAAAUUCGAUGGGUAAUCAGGCAUCAGAAUUCAUCGAUAUGUAGCCC